rnacentral:misc_RNA from 1 species
UCCCCGUUAUCCUGGGCAGUCUCUCCAGAGUGCUCGGCAUGACCCGAUGGCAACUGAAGACAGGGGUUACGCUCGUUGCGGGACUUAACCCAACACCUCACGGCACGAGCUGACGACAGCCAUGCACCACCUGUGAUGGUGUCCCGAAGGAAAACCGUGUUUCCACGGCUGUCACCAACAUGUCAAGCCCAGGUAAGGUUCUUCGCGUUGCAUCGAAUUAAGCCACAUGCUCCGCCGCUUGCGCGGGCCCCCGUCAAUUCCUUUGAGUUUUAGCCUUGCGGCCGUACUCCCCAGGCGGGGCGCUUAAUGCGUUAGCUGCGGCACGGAACCCGUGGAAUGGAUCCCACACCUAGCGCCCAACGUUUGCGGUGUGGACUAC